UACUGAGGGGACUAGCGUUGUUCGGAAUUACUGGGCGUAAAGCGCACGUAGGCGGAUUUGUUAGUCAGGGGUGAAAUCCCGAGGCUCAACCUCGGAACUGCCUUUGAUACUGCAAAUCUCGAGUCCGGAAGAGGUGAGUGGAAUUCCUAGUGUAGAGGUGAAAUUCGUAGAUAUUAGGAAGAACACCAGUGGCGAAGGCGGCUCACUGGACUGGUAUUGACGCUGAGGUGCGAAAGCGUGGGGAGCAAACAGG
rnacentral:rRNA from 1 species